rnacentral:lncRNA from 1 species
ACAGCUUGUUUGUUUUGUUGUUGGAGAUAGUCUACCACAGAUGUUUCUGAUGCUCCAUUGGUUCCUGAGGUAGGGAGAGGUGGUGAAAGGGGUUGCCUGAUGCUGCUGUGCUCUGAUUUAAAGGUUGAGAUUAAAGACAACAUUUAAGGAGCGGGAAUUGUGAAUUUAUUGUUGAAGAAAAUCUAUCUUUGCCCAAUUAUGUAAUUUUGAGGGUUAUGCCAUCACUGGGACUGCACAUAGGUCUUAAAAUUGCAGCUC